rnacentral:rRNA from 1 species
UACGAAGGGGGCUAGCGUUGCUCGGAAUCACUGGGCGUAAAGGGUGCGUAGGCGGGUCUUUUAAGUCAGGGGUGAAAUCCUGGAGCUCAACUCCAGAACUGCCUUUGAUACUGAGGAUCUUGAGUUCGGGAGAGGUGAGUGGAACUGCGAGUGUAGAGGUGAAAAUUCGUAGAUAUUCGCAAGAAACACCAGUGGGCGAAAGGCGGCUCACUGGCCCCGAUACUGACGCUGAGGCACGAAAGCGUGGGGGAGCA